rnacentral:hammerhead_ribozyme from 1 species
CACUGGUCGAGAGCUGUUACCGCUUUUCGGAUGAGUCUUGACAGGACGAAACUAGUG